rnacentral:lncRNA from 1 species
AUAGAUUGGUAAUCAUCAACUGCUUGAUGAGCCAAAUGAUCAGCUAACACACUUCCUUUGAUUGCUUUCUGGGUAGUAUACUGGAUAUCAUACUCUGUUAAAAUCAUCUGCCAUCUUGCUAUUCUUCCGGAGAGGGCAGGUUUCUCAAAUAUGUAUUUGAUAGGAUCCAUCUUAGAAAUCAAUAAAGUGGUAUGAUUCAACAUAUACUGUCUUAGUCGGCGAGCAGCCCAGGCCAAAGCACAGCAAGUUCUCUCGAGCAGUGAGUAUCUUGUUUCAC